rnacentral:rRNA from 1 species
GGGUCAGUAGGUUGGUCGUGCCACCGGUACGUACUGGUCUCACUGAUUCCUCCUUCCUGUAGAACCGUAAUGCCAUUAAUUUGGUGUUGCGGGGAAACAGGACUGUUACUUUGAAAAAAUUAGAGUGUUUAAAGCAAGCUAACGCUUGAAUACAUUAGCAUGGAAUAAUGAAAUAGGACGAUCGAUCCUAUUUUGUUGGUUUCCAGGAUUGACGUA